UACGAGGGGGGCAAGCGUUGUUCGGAAUUACUGGGCGUAAAGCGUGCGUAGGCGGUGAGUUAAGUCUGUCGUGAAAUCCCCGGGCUCAACCUGGGAAUGGCGAUGGAUACUGGCUCGCUAGAGUGUGAUAGAGGAUGGUGGAAUUCCCGGUGUAGCGGUGAAAUGCGUAGAGAUCGGGAGGAACAUCAGUGGCGAAGGCGGCCAUCUGGAUCAACACUGACGCUGAGGCACGAAAGCGUGGGGAGCAAACAG
rnacentral:rRNA from 1 species